UGGGGACUUCUGUUGAUGGGCGUCCCCUGACCCCUUGUGCUGACCGCUAGCAGCUUAAGCGCUAACUACGAUAGCACGCGCUUAAUCGUUAGCUCUAUUUGGAACUAACGCGUUAGCGUGUGUAAACUCACUGUAUUGGCUUACAUUUUUCCUAUUUAACGCAUAGGCUUCGGACAAGCGUGGGAAUCUUUACACUGCUGUCUACUUUCUUUUAUCACCCCCGCCGUAAGAUCGUAUUAUGGAGGUGCCGGGAGUUGAACCCGGAUCCAGCGGAUUAUUGCAUUGCCACUUGUUUAUUGUCAUAGCUAAGUUAGC
rnacentral:tmRNA from 1 species